rnacentral:lncRNA from 10 species
UGUGCCAUCUUCCGAGAGCCUGGAAGGGUCCGCCCGUGGGCUUUCCGAGCGCCGAAGGGGCCACAUGCUGCUCUGAGGGUGCCGCAGGGUCCAGCCGCUGGGUCGACCAGAUGUCAGCCCCAAGGUUAGGGUUUGGCCUCCAGCUUGAGAUGUUUAAGACGGACUAGAUAGCUCUCGCCCGCGGCAGUACCGCUUAGGUCCAGCAGAGGGUGCGAUUACGGCUCACGCGCCCUCCACCUGCCCGGACUCACCCAGGGAUGCUGUCUCACCAUGUUGGCCCCGGAUAGUCUUGGACUCC